rnacentral:rRNA from 1 species
UACAGAGGUCCCAAGCGUUGUUCGGAUUCACUGGGCGUAAAGGGUGCGUAGGUGGCAUGGUAAGUUUGAUGUGAAAUCUCCGGGCUUAACCCGGAAAUGGCAUUGAAUACUACUGUGCUGGAGGUUGGAGGGGGACUGGAAUUCUCGGUGUAGCAGUGAAAUGCGUAGAUAUCGAGAGGAACACCAGUGGCGAAGGCGAGUCCCUGGACAACACCUGACACUGAGGCACGAAAGCUAGGGGAGCAAACAGG